GCUGCGACCCCACCCGUCGGCCCAGCCCCCACGACUGCUUAGCUUCUGGAAACCGUCCCGGGAGCACUUGACUAUCACCCCCAAGCGAGGAGCAAAUCCUGGAGACAGAUGUGUCCCGCAGGAGCUGGAAUAGAAGUCCACGCCACAGUACAGGUGACUAAGAAAUAAGGCAGUGGUGGGACUUGUUGAAGAUGAAGCAGAUGUUGGUGGAGGAAAAAAAUUCACCCUGCUCUGGCUUAAUUAUCAUGCCUCAAGCAGAAACAAACUUGAGUCAGGGAUGGACUGAGGCAAGAUGAGGUAUGUCUGUGUGAUGGAGCCAGAUCCCCUAUAAUGGAGUUACAGACCAUUGUGAGCUGGAUCCUCUGGAUGAGAAGCCAGUGUUCUUAACCUCUAAGCCAUCUCUCCAUCCCCGUGAUGUGUUUUCUUAAUUGCUAAUUGAUGUAGGACAGUCCAUCCCACUGUUGGUAGUGUCAUCCCAAGGAAGAUUGGCCUGGCAGUAUAAGAAACAUAGCUGAGCAAAUCAGAGUGAGUGAUCCGCUAAUAAUUCCAGUUCAGAUCAUAAACACUGUGGCCUCAUUAAAGUUAUAGACACAAGGCACAGUCCAGAAACUAGCCAUCUGCCCUGCAUGAAGAAGUGGGCCCUUUAUUACUGACAAGAACACAGAUUCUUCCACUUUAAGGAAUUGGCCCAUCACCCCAUGAGUUGUUCAACUCUGGAUGAAAGGCUUAAUUAAGGAUCUCAAGAGGAAGAGAUCUGCCUGGAUUAUGCAUGCAGGCCCUACCGCAUCACAGAAGAAACACAUUGAUGAGCCACAAAAGAGGUAAGGUGACCCCAAAAGCACAGAAGGAACAAUGCACAGAAACUGAAGAUGAAGGCACCAGAGGCCGAAGAAGCAAAGCAUGGACAACCUUCCAGCACAUCAUAGGAAGCAAGGCAGCGAUGCCACUUUGAUUUCUAAUUUCUGCCCCAAGAAAUGUGAAAGGAUGGAUUUAUGUUUAUUGGAUUAACCACCAACAUUGUGGUAUUAUUUUAUAACAGCCACAGAAAACAAACUAUGCCAAUUAUUAUCUUUCUAGCCUCUGGCUUUUAUAAUCGUGCCAUUAUCAUCAAUAUGGGUGUUUCAGGAAUACUCAAGGGACACAGCUACUCUAGCCUAGAGGAAGAGUCAAAGAGGCCUCUUAAAGAAGAAUUACCCAAAAUACAAUUAGCUAGAUGGGGAGGCCUCAGCUAAGACAUGAACUUACAGGAAUACAAUGCAGGCAGAAGCACCACAUGGAAGUAUAAGAGACUGAGCCAACUUUAGAGAUGCUCAAGAAGACAGGAGUCUAGAAAAGAGCACUAGGCGAUGGUCCAGGAUGGAGGGACUCACAUAAGUCUGGGAUGGAGGUCCUAGAAGACAGAGUGAGAUGAGCCUGGUAUGGACACCAUACCAAGGAGACUAGUCACUGGCUAAGACCAGACUGCUUUGGCCAAUCAACCUGGUACAGAGAGCUUAUGUCCUUUCCAUUGUUAAGAAUAUGUAGAGGUAAGGUCUUUGGGAUUGAUUUGGUCACAAAUGAGACUAUUGCUUUUUUAAAAGCUCCUCCUGAGACCUCCCUUCCCCUUCUGACAUGAGAAAAGGCAGCAAGAAUAUGUUGGCCAUCUAUGGGGAUGGGGGUGUACACUAGAUAUCCAGCACCCAGAACUGUGAAGUUAAACCUCACCUAGUUGUAGCCCAUCUUUCUUAUGCUGUGACUAAGACACAGGUCAACCACUAGCCUUUGAUAAAUAAUAGAUUGCAGGAUUAUCUUAAUUUAUGAUUCUGCAGGACAGUAAGAGCAGAAAGAGGAGUUAAAUACAUAUGGAAAUUGACAUGUGCUCUCCAGGGUUGUAUAGAAAUCAGGUGGUAGCCCCAGAAGAAAAUCAAUAGCCACUACAUCUAUUUGUGGCUCUUUGUCCACUGAAAUGUGUUCAUGGGUGAAUUUAGAAGGCAUACUAACAAAGCCAAAACAACCAGUCUUGGGGAGGGGAGCCAAAAAGAAAGAAAAUCCUGACAAACUUUUUUUUUUUAAACUAUAGUUACAAGGCUUGGUAUCACUGACAUUUUUCCAUUUAAUUACCUGAAUUUGAAGGGCUUAUCAAACUCAACUAUGUUCCUUCAAACACCAUAACACUGAAAUCUAUGAACAGUCCUUGUUUCUGUGUUAACAGAAUAUGUUAAAGGCGGCAGGAAAAUAUUCAGCUGCCCUAUCCAGUUAAACCUACAAAUAAGAAUAAUUAAUACAGGCAGAUUUAACUUUAGGGAGCUGUGCUAGUGAGGGCAACUAACAUUGGUUAUGUCAUAAUGGGAUGUAGGGAGAGAGAUUAAGGGAGGGCAAUUCAAAACACACCCUGUUUGAAAAUGUCAUAGUGAUAUCUAAUGCUCUGUAUGUUAAUUUCUUAAAUAGAAAGUAAAUUUAAACUAAAAAGAAAACAAAUAGGAGAAGAGAAAACCUCAGUUUUGCUUUGCUACUUGCUAAAUCUGAAGUGUCUUGGCAACUGUACCUGGCACUUUAUAAAAAUAUACUUGAAAUUAUCUGGUGAUAGAGUAUAAACGCCCCCUUCAACUCAGAAAGAUAAGAUUCUGUCUUAAACUCUUUGUUUGGAAAAAUAAUGUAUCAUCCCAAAUGCUGGAAAUGUUCAGAACUUUUGUCAUCUAAGAAAUAUAAAAUUAUUUUUAACCCA